GACUUUAGGACCCUACUGAGAGGGAGUCAAGAGCUCUCCAGGGUUCUUUGAGUGGGGAGUUGUGUCAAAAACCACCAUCAGUGCGCCUGAGCUCGCCUCGCGUUGUUCUUCUGUAGUGCGGGGGGCCACUGCCACCACCGUGAGGACACGUUGGAGUCUGGGGAGGGAUUGUUACGGCUGUGGGUGCACCUUGCACGUCUUGCCGACCUAGCUUUGCACGCUGAUCUUCCCUCCGUGCCCGCUUACAUUGUUAACUGGGUUUCUGCCCUCCCUCCUCUCCUUCGUAUUUCUGUGUCUCAUUGACAACUGUUCUGUAGUCGCUUUGUUGACAGUUGCCAAACUGCUUUCCAAAAACAUUUCCACUGCAAUCCCGGGUUUCGGUGCCAGCCGCAGUGGUGUGAGUACGCUCGCUUUGUUAUAGUCUUGCCAGCACUGGGCGUCUCUGUGUAUUGUAAACACAUGCGAUCAUCACUCUUAUCUCUCCAUCCCCCCCACAAUUAAAGAUGUGCCGUGCUGUCUCUGCUCAGGUUACCUUGGCCUUGGGAUGAGUUGGCUGGAGGCUCAGGCAGCGCGAGGGAGAGGAGGAGGGCGAGGUGCUGCCCAGUGGAGUAGUGGGGAGCCAUGGCACGGCCAGGACUCGGGAGAGGAGGCCGGCAGCUCACAGCAGACCGUGGGGCUCAGCUGGCCUGCCGUGUGCUUGGGGUUUGUUUUUGAGUGUUGCGAUGAGGUCCUUACACCUUGGUCCGUGCAUUGAGAAUAAGGCAGAUGCCUUGAGCCUUACCUCCUUUUCCUCUUUGUCGCCUAGUAUGACGCCGUGCCCAUCCAGUCCAGCGUGGUGUUAUGUUCCUGCCCAUCCCCAUCAAUGGUGAGGACCCAGACUGAGUCCAGCACGCCCCCUGGCAUUCCUGGUGGCAGCAGGCAGAGCCCUGCCAUGGAUGGCACUGCAGCCGAGCCUCGGCCUGGUGCUGGCUCCCUGCAGCAUGCCCAGCCUCCGCCACAGCCUCGGAAGAAGCGGCCUGAGGACUUCAAGUUUGGGAAAAUUCUUGGGGAAGGCUCUUUUUCCACGGUUGUCCUGGCUCGAGAACUGGCAACCUCCAGAGAAUACGCGAUUAAAAUUCUGGAGAAGCGACAUAUCAUAAAAGAGAACAAGGUCCCGUAUGUAACCAGAGAGCGGGAUGUCAUGUCGCGCCUGGAUCACCCUUCUUUGUUAAGCUUUACUUCACAUUUCAGGACGACGAGAAGCUGUAUUUCGGCCUUAGUUAUGCCAAAAAUGGAGAACUACUUAAAUAUAUUCGCAAAAUCGGUUCAUUCGAUGAGACCUGUACCCGAUUUUACACGGCUGAGAUUGUGUCUGCUUUAGAGUACUUGCACGGCAAGGGCAUCAUUCACAGGGACCUUAAACCGGAAAACAUUUUGUUAAAUGAAGAUAUGCACAUCCAGAUCACAGAUUUUGGAACAGCAAAAGUCUUAUCCCCAGAGAGCAAACAAGCCAGGGCCAACUCAUUCGUGGGAACAGCGCAGUACGUUUCUCCAGAGCUGCUCACGGAGAAGUCCGCCUGUAAGAGUUCAGACCUUUGGGCUCUUGGAUGCAUAAUAUACCAGCUUGUGGCAGGACUCCCACCAUUCCGAGCUGGAAACGAGUAUCUUAUAUUUCAGAAGAUCAUUAAAUUGGAAUAUGACUUUCCAGAAAAAUUCUUCCCUAAGGCAAGAGACCUCGUGGAGAAACUUUUGGUUUUAGACGCCACAAAGCGGUUAGGCUGUGAGGAAAUGGAAGGGUACGGACCUCUUAAAGCACACCCGUUCUUCGAGUCCGUCACGUGGGAGAACCUGCACCAGCAGACGCCUCCGAAGCUCACCGCUUACCUGCCGGCCAUGUCGGAAGACGACGAGGACUGCUAUGGCAAUGUAAGCUGGCCGGGAUGGCGGGCGAGGCGGGUGGCACUGGGUCCUCCGUGCACUGGGCUUCAUGCCCGUGCGCCAGACCCACGUGUGAUUUGUAGCCGAAAGGGGAGGGUGUCUGUGCCACUGCGGCAGGCCUGCUGGUGGUUGUAGUCUUUGCUGCCGCGAGGCAGUGGCGGGUGAUGUGCUGGGUGGGUCGUUUUUUCCUCAUUUCCGUGGCCGUGGACAGGCUAGUGAGUUUCCACCCAGAGGGUGCUGCUAGAACCGGACACCGAGCACCCCCGGCACUGGCCCCGGGGUCCUACGUACAGGGCCUCCUGCCCAGGCCUGUCGCAUCUGCGCUUGGCUUGGUGCUUGUACAACUGUGCGUCCAAGAUGCUCCAGAACACUACCUGUCUUUCCACAGAAAUCCCCGAGUGUUGUGUGCUUGAACUUUUGGGACGUGGCGUUGGUGGGGACGCUGGUACCGUCUGCUUCAGUGCUGAGUAG
rnacentral:sRNA from 1 species